rnacentral:rRNA from 1 species
AGCGAACGCCGGCGGCAGGCCUAACACAUGCAACUCGAACGAACCUUUCGGGGUUAGUGGCGUACGGGGGCGUAACACGUAGGAACAUGCCUUUAGGUUCGGAAUAACCCACGGAACAUUGUUCUAAUACCGGAAAUGCCCUUCCGGGGUAAGAUGUAUCGCCUUUAGAGCGGCCCGCGUCUGAUUAGCUCGUUGGUUGAGGUAAUGGCUCACCCAGCCGACGAUCAGUAGCUGGUCUGAGAGGAUGAGCAGCCACAUUGGGACUGAGACACGGCCCAAACUCCUACGGGAGGCAGCAGUGGGGAAUCUUGCGCAAUGGGCGAAAGCCUGACGCAGCCAUGCCGCGUGAAUGAUGAAGGUCUUAGGAUUGUAAAAUUAUUUCGCCGGGGAGGAUAAUGACGGUACCCGGAGAAGAAGCCCCGGCUAACUUCGUG